CAGCCGCCGCGGGAAUACGUAGGGUGCAAGCGUUAAUCGGAAUUACUGGGCGUAAGGCGUGCGCAGGCGGUUUUGUAAGACAGAGGUGAAAUCCCCGGGCUCAACCUGGGAACUGCCUUUGUGACUGCAAGGCUGGAGUGCGGCAGAGGGGGAUGGAAUUCCGCGUGUAGCAGUGAAAUGCGUAGAUAUGCGGAGGAACACCGAUGGCGAAGGCAAUCCCCUGGGCCUGCACUGACGCUCAUGCACGAAAGCGUGGGGAGCAAACAGGAUUAGAGACCCCUGUAGUCCCUGUCUCUUAUAC
rnacentral:rRNA from 1 species